rnacentral:rRNA from 1 species
UACGUAGGGGGCUAGCGUUGUCCGGAAUCAUUGGGCGUAAAGCGCGUGUAGGCGGUUCGGUAAGUCCGCUGUGAAAGUCGGGGGCUCAACCCUCGAAUGCCGGUGGAUACUGUCGGACUGGAGUACGGAAGAGGCGAGUGGAAUUCCUGGUGUAGCGGUGAAAUGCGCAGAUAUCAGGAGGAACACCAAUUGCGAAGGCAGCUCGCUGGGACGGUACUGACGCUGAGACGCGAAAGCGUGGGGAGCAAACAGG